UUAUACAGCGAAACUGCGAAUGGCUCAUUAAAUCAGUUAUCGUUUAUUUGAUAGUACCUUACUACUUGGAUAACCGUGGUAAUUCUAGAGCUAAUACAUGCUAAAAACCCCGACUCACGAAGGGGUGUAUUUAUUAGAUUAAAAACCAAUGCCCUUCGGGGCUCUUUGGUGAUUCAUAAUAACUUUUCGAAUCGCAUGGCCUUGCGCCGGCGAUGGUUCAUUCAAAUUUCUGCCCUAUCAACUUUCGAUGGCAGGGUCUUGGCCUGCCAUGGUUACAACGGGUAACGGAGGGUUAGGGCUCGACCCCGGAGAAGGAGCCUGAGAAACGGCUACUACAUCCAAGGAAGGCAGCAGGCGCGCAAAUUACCCAAUCCCGAUUCGGGGAGGUAGUGACAAUAAAUACUGAUACAGGGCUCUUUUGGGUCUUGUAAUUGGAAUGAGUACAAUUUAAAUCCCUUAACGAGGAACAAUUGGAGGGCAAGUCUGGUGCCAGCAGCCGCGGUAAUUCCAGCUCCAAUAGCGUAUAUUAAAGUUGUUGCAGUUAAAAAGCUCGUAGUUGAACCUUGGGCCUGGCUGGCCGGUCCGCCUCACCGCGUGCACUGGUUCGGCCGGGCCUUUCCCUCUGGGGAACCUCAUGGUCUUCACUGAUCGUGACGGGGAACCAGGACUUUUACUGUGAAAAAAUUAGAGUGUUCAAAGCAGGCCUAUGCUCGAAUACAUUAGCAUGGAAUAAUAAAAUAGGACGUGUGGUUCUAUUUUGUUGGUUUCUAGGACCGCCGUAAUGAUUAAUAGGGACAGUCGGGGGCAUCAGUAUUCAAUUGUCAGAGGUGAAAUUCUUGGAUUUAUUGAAGACUAACUACUGCGAAAGCAUUUGCCAAGGAUGUUUUCAUUAAUCAGGAACGAAAGUUAGGGGAUCGAAGACGAUCAGAUACCGUCGUAGUCUUAACCAUAAACUAUGCCGACUAGGGAUCGGACGGUGUUACUUAUUGACCCGUUCGGCACCUUACGAGAAAUCAAAG
rnacentral:rRNA from 1 species